UGUAUCUUGCCAUUAGUACAUAUUAUUCUAUUGCACAGCAAAGUUGGUGCAAUGUUCAAAUGUUUUCUCAAGUUUUCUUUUAUGGAUAAAUAAGUCAAUACAUAAUGAUAAUGUGACUUCAAAAUAAAUAUGCCUUCUACAUAAUGUGUCUAUAAAUUAUAAUAUAUGUGAAAACAAAAAUCAAGUACCUAAUUAAAACAGAAAAAUAAAUCAUGGUCAACAAUAUAAAAGUCAAAUGUCCACUCUCUGAGGAUGAAGAUAAUAUAAUACUUACGAAAAAGGAAAAACAGAAAUCAAAAUUAUUGAGAAGCGGAAAUAAUGCAAAAAUGAACGAUAAAGUAAUAAAAUACUUAAUAACUAAAAAUAAUCAACAUCUGAGCAGCACCGGUAUAACAGGGAAAAUUCCAGUCUUACUAAUAUUUCCAUUAAUGGUUUUAAUUUUUUUACUUCUUAUGAUAUUUUUAUAAACUUCCUGUUAUAAAAUGUACCUAAUUACUAAUUUAUUCAUCAUAAUAAUUCAUUUAAAUCUUAUUAUUUCGUAAAAUUGUAUAAUUUAUUAAAUUUAAUAUUAUGUUAUAAUGUAUUGUAUUGAUGUGUAUUUUUUUUUAAUAUCAUUUAAAUACUCAUUAAUUUCAAUUUAUCAAUUAAACGUUUUAUUUUAUCCAUAGGUAACUUUAAUUUAUGAAUAAACUUUAAAUUAAAUUGGAUGACUCGGGAUGUCUAAUAAAUUGCCUAUUUGAAAAAUAUUCAGGUGUUAUCAUUAUGCAUGUACAAAUAAACUAUGAGUGGGAUAAUAAAUACAAUAUUUGAG